GUCAAACUUGACACAAUCGAUUGUCAGACGGUAUUAAUUCAAAAAAUUCUUACCAUUCUGCUAUGCUGACCCCUUUUAAUCGAUUGUCAGUUUCCUUUUCAGAAUUCCAACGAGCAUAUCUGCUCAACAAUCGAUUGUCUCCAGCAAACAAUCGAUUGUCUCCAGUGGUCUUCUUAAAAUCUGACCGUUUUUGAGUCUUCAAUUCAGCCAUGAAUACCAUAUCUUCUCC
rnacentral:lncRNA from 1 species